AAAGGAAACUUUGGUUUGAGCAAUCUUCAUAAAAUUUCACAUCGUGCCACCAGCUCAGGUCUACAACCACCACUGAAAUUUCAUUGUCCUGUGAUCUUUGGAAGGAGCCACCAUCUUGAAUUUAAAAAAUACCUUUAGUAGCAGUAAUUAAAAACUCCUCUUAGGUUUUUUGAUGUUUCCUUGAGGAUCAUUUGAGAAAAAAAAAUGUUGGUUUUAGAAGUUGUAGAUUUUGGAUGGCUUUGAAAUGGCAUUCCUCUGUUGUCUGAACACUUUUUUACUGGAAUAUUGUGAAAAUGUAAUUCAUGAAUUCUUGGCCCAACCUGAAAGAAAUGAUGUGAACAUAGAACAAAAAACUUCUGUCUUUCAAGGAAAUCUCCAAAUUUACUUUUGCUGAUUCUUCUAAAAACUUUAUAGGGCAAUGCGUAAUCCCAAACUGACCAAAAAAUAAAAUGGAGAGAAAACCAACAAUAAAGCUACUAUUUUGAAAACAGUGUUUUUUCAAGAAUUUGUCCCAAGAAUUUGACUGUAUUAAGUACGAACUGGACAUAGCAAGCGUUGAGGUCCCCCAUAGGAAAUGCAUUACCUUCAGGCCUUGCGAAAUCCAGCCAGAGCCUUCGCCAUCACUUCCUGAUUCGUCUAACGCCAUAUUGCAACUGAUUGCUGCCCCUUGACAGCGAUUAGCCCAAGUCGUGCUGAGUCAUGUUAUUAAAGAAGUUAAUCAAGUUGAAGUUAUUUGAGGGGUUUUAUUGAGCAUAUUCAUACAGUUCAGAAUUUUCAUUUGUCAUUGUCUGCAGACAGACACCCCCUACUACUUCUUGUCUCUCUGGUUUGAAGAGAAAUUCACUCCUCCUUCCCACCCACACAUGCAGGUUUGUGUCGAGCUCUGUCUGACGUGCUUUCAUACCGGUAGCUGAGAGAGGAUGAAACUCAGAGCACGACCACUUGUCUCAUGAUAAAAUGGCAUUGUGGUUGAAACAGGCAGUUCUGGUGUUGCUCACAGUAGCAGAAGCAGCCAUGGCGGGAUAUUCACAAGAAAUCAAUCUGAGUUCUCCUGGUGAUCCAUCACAUAUGGAGCGGGUGAAUACUUCUGCUCGCUCUCUGAAGUUCCUCUGCGACAUACCAACUAAAAGUUCCCGCUAUCGAGUGACUUUUUAUUUCAGGGAUUCAAACACCAAGAACAUUUCGCACAAGUGUAGCACAGCGAUUUAUGGAAAUUUAAAUGCCUUCACUACAUCACCAAAAAAGAAACAGACGAAUCAAACAGAUCCCAACAUGAAGUGCUACAAUAAAACAUGGGAAAUACAAAACAUUACCAGAGAAAACAAUGGAUUUUACUCUUGUGAAAUCCAUAUAGAGAUUCCUGUGCUAAAUACGACUAAGAGCCGGGAAGUGGAAGUUCUCUUUGUACCAUCGAUAAACAACCCACCUUCAGAAAACAAACCAUCUUUAGAAAAGAUAUCAUCUUCAGAAAACAACCCAAUUUCAGAAAAAAAAACGCAGUUAGGAAACAACCCAAUAUCCUCGCUGUGGCUCCCGUUGGGUCUUUCUCUUCUCGCUGUGGUCAUCCUGAUGGUUCUAUGUGUGAUCAUCAGAAGAGUGUGCCUCAGAAACAGAGUGUGAGUGAAGAUGUGAAAAGAUUCCAGCCAAAAUAAGAACCCAUCUAUGUGAACACCAACUUGAAGCCCUCCCCUCGGUCUGCGCCCCAGCGUGAUCAGCUGAAGUUGGCCGAGCCCUAUCAGAACAUGCGUACUCCUAGCCCCACCAGGAGUAACAAAGUGAGGAAAGACAGACCCAGACCCUGACCAAACUGGGGGUGCACAGGAUAAUCCUCCCAUCCCUGUUCUUAUUUCAUCUGCUUCCAUGUGUUUCACUUUCUUUUUAAUUAAUUUUUUGACAAAAAUAUAUACAUAUCAAAUAUAAUGUAAAAGCAGUUUCUAUAAAAGAUAUUCAGAAUGUUACAUUCAGGCUCUUCAGUUUUUAUCAUGUGCCACUAGAUGGCGAUUGAUGUUCCUUUUAGAAAUCAUUUUGCUUGUAAACCUCACAAGUACUUUUUUAAAUUUUCCAACUGUUUAAAUUGUUCUUUUAAUGUGGAAAAAAAUGCUUAAUAACAAUUGCAUGAAGAAGCAUUGAAACGUUUUAAAUUUUAAUUUGUGCUUAUGAUUUUUAAUGGGAAAUUCUUAUACUUUGAGCAUUAUAUUCCUGAGGUGAUUCUGUUCACUUUGACCCACUGUUGUUUCUCCAGAGGUCAACGUUACCCCUUGAACAUGUUAUACAUUUCUUAUUGUGGAUUAAUUAAGGGCCAAACCACUUUAAUAAUACAAGAUCUGGCAUUCAAGAACACCAGUGAACAAAAUGUGCUGUAAGUUUGUCCUACCACAUGGGGGCGCUCUGUCGCCACUGACCAAUACUGGUCCCAAGUUUAAGUAACUGAAGCAUGUUUUAUCAGAAAGCCCCUCCCCAUAACAAUGAAGCCAAAUCUCUGGUUUAAAUUGUGGGGUAGUUCUCUGAGGUGACCCCAAAAAUGGAAAAAAAUAAAUAAA